rnacentral:rRNA from 1 species
CUCGUAGGCGGGCGUCUAAGUCAGGGGUGAAAUCCCGAGGCUCAACCUCGGAAUUGCCUUUGAUACUGGAUGUCUCGAGACCGGAAGAGGUGAGUGGAACCGCGAGUGUAGAGGUGAAAUUCGUAGAUAUUCGCAAGAACACCAGUGGCGAAGGCGGCUCACUGCUCCGGUUCUGACGCUGAGGCGCGAAAGCGUGGGAGCAAACA